rnacentral:lncRNA from 1 species
UCCUUAAGGUUCACCUCUUGAGAUUCAAGGUUAGCUCCAAAGGUAUUCUCAUGUGAAAUAGAUAUUUUCUCAUUGAAACACAAUUGAGAUUCAUUAUUUUCAUCAAAAUGCAAUCCACUUUCACUUGCAACAUGCUUACCAUUCAUGCUAGGAUCAACUUGCAUAACAUUAGAGCAAAUAACUUCAUACAAAACAUAUAAUUGU